CAGACAGGCGUGGUCCGGAGUCGGUGGGUUACCUUUGAAACCCCCCCUCCCAUCGGCACCAACUUGACCGUUCCUGUU
ensembl:ncRNA W01D2.8 ncRNA